rnacentral:rRNA from 1 species
UACGGAGGGGGCUAGCGUUGUUCGGAAUUACUGGGCGUAAAGCGCACGUAGGCGGAUUGGAAAGUCAGGGGUGAAAUCCCGGGGCUCAACCCCGGAACUACCUUUGAAACUCCCAGUCUUGAGGUCGAGAGAGGUGAGUGGAAUUCCGAGUGUAGAGGUGAAAUUCGUAGAUAUUCGGAGGAACACCAGUGGCGAAGGCGGCUCACUGGCUCGAUACUGACGAUGAGGUGCGAAAGCGUGGGGAGCAAACAGG